UGAGCAAUCUGCCCUUCACAUCGGAAUAACCAUUGGAAACGAUGGCUAAUACCGGAUAUGACCUUGGGAUGCAUGUCCUUUGGUGGAAAGCUUUUGCGGUGUGGGAUGGGCCCGAGGCCUAUCAGCUUGUUGGUGGGGUUAAGGCCUACCAAGGCGACGACGGGUAGCCGGCCUGAGAGGGCGACCGGCCACACUGGGACUGAGACACGGCCCAGACUCCUACGGGAGGCAGCAGUAGGGG
rnacentral:rRNA from 1 species